AUGACAUGGCACCCUGAACUACUUAGAAAAAAAAAAACAAAAAAAACUCACACUCCUACUUCAAUGAACAAAAAUCCUCUAAUAAAGAGAUCACAACCACAGGAUCACACACACACAAACACACACACACACACACACCCAACACACACACCUUUAUCUUAGAGCAGAGUCCAAGACCAACCAACACACAUGAUCCUCAGUUCUUUUAUUUUUAUUAUUUCUUUAUUU
rnacentral:lncRNA from 10 species